AAUAUCAUCCUCUGUUUCAGGGUCACAAUACACAGUACAGUAAAGAUGGAAAUUAAUGCAUGUCAAUUUAUAACUUUGUGCCUGCAAUUUCCUUGAGGAUUGGUCAUUGUGUUUUGGACCUUACAAUGGAAGCCACAUCUUUGUCUUGCCACUGUCACUUUGUUUGCAAGGGCAGUAAUGGAUGGGUUCAUCCUAGAAAGAAAACAACUAAGCAGACUGAGAGAAAGACACCCUGA
rnacentral:lncRNA from 1 species